GAAGGGACAAAGGCAAGAAAGAACUGGAA
rnacentral:piRNA from 1 species